rnacentral:lncRNA from 1 species
UUGUUGUGCUCCUCACCUAUAAAUACCCCUAUUUUGAGUUCAGAGUCAUUCUUUUGACAGGGGAGAACGGCCAUACCUAAUUUUUCUCUCUGGAGAGGAUCUCUUGGAUGCUUAGGCUCCUUUUCAUCUUUUCUAGGGUUUUCUUUUCCAUUCGUCUUCCAUUUUUCAUCUAGUUUCACCAUGUCAAUGGUGAACUAAACCCUAUUGUUGUUGGGGGAAACAAUGUAAUCUUUUGAUACUCUCUUUAAUUGAAACUCUUGAUUAUUUAUAUGGUUUUCAUAUGUUUGAUUGUUAAUUGUUGGGUUCUCAUCUGUGCUUAAUUCCUUUAUCGUUUAACUCAUUUGAUAACUGUUGUUUGUCUUUAUUGAUACAGGGACGUACAAUAAUGUCAUGAACUGGUGAGUAAUUCCUUGAUUUUGCAAUACCACCUAGGGAUAGGGGUAGGACGAUCGAUUGUGUUUAACUUCUGCUCUAUAAUGCUGUAUUAAUUGCUAGGGGAGGCUAGGGAUAGCAAGCCAGUAGUUAAUAUUAUGCUCUUUCCACUGAGGGAUCGGGUUAAGGGUAGGCUAAGAAAGUUGCAUGACAAUUAAUUAAUCUAACUAAUAAGUCAAGAGGAGUAGAUAAGAGAGGGCGAAUUAGAUGAAAUUGUAAACCCCCAACAACUCC